GCUCCAUUCGUAUAGCGGUUAGUACCAAGACUGGAUACAGUUGAGACCUGGGUUCGAAUCCCAGAUGGAGUG